GUUUAUCAAAAACANGGCCUUUUGAUUAUAAUAUUAGGUUUGGCCUGCCCACUGAGUAUUUAAAGGGCCGCGGUAUUUUGACCGUGCUAAGGUAGCAUAAUCAUUAGUUUUUUAAUUGGAAGCUGGUAUGAAUGGUCGGAUGAAAAAAUAACUGUCUCUAUUCAAUAAAAAUUGAAUUUUAUUUUUAAGUAAAAAAGCUUAAAUAUUUUUAAAAGACGAGAAGACCCUAUAGAGUUUUAUAAAAUUUUAUAUUUAAAUUUUUAGAAUUAUAAUUUUAUUUAAAAAAUUUUAUUUGAUUGGGGCGAUUGAAAAAUUUAAUAAACUUUUUUUUUAUUUCUACAUUUUUAAAUGAAAAUUUGAUCCAUAAAUAAUGAUUAUAAGAUUAAAUUACCUUAGGGAUAACAGCGUAAUUUUUUUUGAGAGUUCAAAUCGAAAAAAAAGUUUGCGACCUCGAUGUUGGAUUAAAAUUAAUUUNUGGUGUAGAAGCUAAGAAAUUAGGUCUGUUC
rnacentral:rRNA from 1 species